CCCAGGUGCUUUUACAUUCCCCCACAGUUCUCCCAUAUAAUCUUGAAAGGCCAAAGAGCUUUAAAACACAAAACAAGCAAGAAAAGACCCCUCUUCACCCUUCUCAUGGGUGAUGAAGUACCACACACUACUCACUGCUUUUUCACUUUAAUAGAGAUAAAACCAACUUUAAGCCCUUACACAGCAGCAGCCAGAGCACAUGAGCCCCUACACCAGUUGGCCAGACACAACAGUUUCCCCUCUGAGGAGAUAAAGAAAAUCCCAGCAUAGAGAUACCAAUGCCCACAGGCUCACCUACAAAUCCCACCUUCUAGGUGGCUCCAGACCAAGCCUGAGCCCAGCCUGCAUCCCAUGGUGGAGCUUCACCAUCACCCCUCUCUCCCAGCUGCAACAAGGAACAAAAGCUAACCAUGCCCCCCUUCCUCUUACAGAAAACUACAAAAUUUAGCACUUUCAGAAGAACAAAGUAACAGAACAACCAACUCACCAGAUAGCAGAACACAGCGAACAGCUUCUUCCUCUCCAGUAAGCCCCCAAAGAAAUGAACCACCUCCUCCCUGCCCUAUUUAAAGAACAACCCCCGCCUGCUCCAGGUGCCAACGAGAUGCACCUGAGCAGGGCAAGAGCUCCAAAAGGAGAAGUGCCCCAAUCCUCCCCAGCUGUGCAGGCUAAUGAAGAGCACCUGUGCCUCUUUGAAGAGGUGGGCUGUGCUGUCCCAACAUCUUGCCCAAGCAAUCUCUAAACGGGUUUUCAUUGUCCCUUGUUUUGCUCUUGAUCAGACAAAUAACAGUGUGAGAGAGAUGGUGGAGAGCAUAGAGGAGAACAGUCCCUAAUAAUGGAUUGGGGGAAGGGGAGAAAUUCUGCUCUGACACCAAAUGAGUUGAUGGAAUGAUUCUCCUUCCAUAGGCUUUGCAUCUGCCUAUUAAAGUCUUGUUUUCUGAUAGAGAUGUAACAUUCAAGCCCCCUUUAGCAAAUAAAACAAACCAAACAGUGGAAAGGACCACUAAGUUCACUAAGUCCAACCACCAACCCACUACCACCAUGCUGACUAACCAUGUCCCGCAGUGCCGGGGGAAGGCAGAAGGUAUUUUGGCACCAGGGUGGCUCCAAAGUCCAGGCAGGGCCAUGCAAGUGCCUAUUUCUAUGCAGGACCAGGCCUGAGCCAAAGGGAGGCAGAAAUAUUGCAGAAGAAAUGCCGUGAGCCCAAGUGGCUGAGCACAGAGCGCGUCCUUAUCGGCACCCAUAGGCGCCAGGCUGCAGCACACAAAAGGCCCAAGGCAGCCCUGGGGCCGAGCCAGCUUGUCUUAAUGUUUGCCGUUUGGUAAAGCAAACUAAUAAAUCCCCUUGGGUUUAUCCAUGCUUCCAGUUUGUAUUUAUUAGCGAGAAUGACAGGCAAGUUUUCCUCCCGGUUCCACAGGAAAAUAGCAAUACAUCUCCCACGCCCUUCCCCUUUUAACGGCCUGGCUCUCUGUUUGCUCGCCAUCUCUAAACAAGCCAGGAUUACACAACUGACCGACACUGAAGGCAAACAGCCUUUGAAGUCAAUAUUAGUUAUGAACUCGGAAGGGUCCGUGUCUGGGAGCUGCCAUCCAUCCCCAGAGCAGGGCGGGAGGAAGGCAGCACCCAUUCAGUCUUGGGCUAAUAGGGGCAGCUUUGGCAGGGAAGAGCUGUGAGAAAGGAUCCCAAAAGCAGAUGUCCUCCAGCAGCAGUGCCAGUGGUUUGCAUCCUACUGCAGAGGAAUGUGGACACAUGUUGGCCAUGCCACGGUGCAGUUCUUCUUGGCCAAGGAAGAACGGUGUCCCCGGUGUGCCAUCAGGUUUGGCUCAUGGAUGGGAAUGCUGUCAUUUGCCCGAAGUACCUGCUCACUGCUCCAUGAGGCAUGGCUCCACUCCACCAGGAGGAGAAAAGAGCAUCAGUCCCACCUCAAACACGAGCACUGGCAAAGGGCUGAGCAUCACCUUGGCUUCUGCCUCCAAGGACACUUAAUCAGUGACAAUGGAUUUGACAUCACCAUUUACCCAUCGUCACCAAACCAAACACCAAGCGAUGUCCACAUGUUUCUGGGCUUUGUUGUUCUGCCAUAGUUUUCCCAAGGGCAGUACAUGGUUCUUAAAACACUCUAGCAAUGGUUCCAAAGGAAAGGGCCCAGGACUCCACGUUCCUGACCAAGGUCCUGCUGUCCCAGUGGAGCACAGCAGUCACACCACCAGCUCAAUAUCAAGACCACAAGUCACUCACUCACCACAGCUGAACACCCAACACAUUCAUACACGUGCCCAAGGCUACGGUGCUUUUUAGAUGAAAGAACAUCCUUAGUUUUUUUGUAAUGAAGGCAUAACUCUUAAAAAAAAAAAAAUCAAAGGACAUUUCCAUUACAUAAAUAUCCUUUUUUAACGUUGCAGUUUCCACACAGCACCUUCCAGUGCUUCAGCUCUACAGGGUGGGAGGGGACACACGGUCCACGGACGUGAAACAACAUGAUUUAAGGGGAAUUAAUCUGCAUCUCAGGCGCUUUGGAGCAGGAGGCAUGUGAGGGGUGGCCGCCUAGUUGGCGGGUGAUGGUUAAGGGGUUGCAGAAAGGAAAGAGGGAAAGGACAGGGAAGAUUUUUUUCUGCAAAGCAAAGGCAUUAAGCUCUUGGCCUGGCUUUACCGGGGCAGAGAAGUUUGCCAAAGCGCCGGUUUCCUGUGCAAUCAAACCCGUCCACUCGGCAGCACCGCGAUAGGGCCAUGAUGUAAGUGUGGCUGAGCCAAGGCAAACGGAAAAGAACAGCGAGCACUCCGAGAGGCAACGGAUUUUAUUAAGCAGUUUAAUUGUUUCUGAGGGUGACAUUUUUCCCUUCUUGACGUUCCCCUCACUGCGGUUUGGCCUUGCGCCCCCCAGAAUCCCACCUAAUCCCUAUGGGAUGUGCUGGGGAGGAUGCAGCCAUGCGAUGUGAAGGGACACAGCUCCCAGUUUCAGACCCAAGGCACUGCGGUUGCCAGCUCUUGGUGUGCUGCUCCCAUUGCUUCUCCAGAGGCGUUCACCCCUCUGCAUGGGGCUGCACCCUGUGCUGGUCCAAGCAUCCUCAUUAAGAGCCCAAAAUCCCAAAAAGAUUCAGAAAGAAGAACGGAGGAGGGAAAAAAUAAAAUUAAAUUAAAAUCCACAGCUACUUCCUUGGAACCAGGGCAAGCUCUUGGUCCUUCACAAGGGAAAAAAUGGAGCUACUGUUUGACCUGAGAGCACGCAGCCAUCCAGCCCCACAGAUCCUGAGGCCACCCGGCCAGGAGGAGGAUGUACAGAGCGCAGCAGGGAGCAGUAAUUCAGCCAUCCCUGCCCUGCGUGGGUGCAGCAGAGCGAGGUCAGCUCAGGACCCUGGAUCACAGCGAGCGGCGGUGGGUGGCUGCACUGGGGCCGUUCCCAUGUCAGCGCUGGGGGAAGGAGCACAGGAUGACCCCGGGUGCACCCCGAUCCCUGAGGGCUGCUGGGCACUGUGCUGCCUCUGCCCUUCCUCCCUCCCAUCCGCAGCGAUGUGCUGGUGCACCUUGAGCCUCCACUGUUGGCCCUGCAAAGGAAAAAUCCAGCAUUAGUGGGUUGUGAUGGAGGAAAUUGUCAUUCCUCUUGGUUACUCUUUGGGGCGAUGGAUGGGGGAGGCACACCAGCAGCCCUCAGUGUCAUCUCCAAGCCCUGACACCAAGGCCAGCGGGGACCCACUGGAGCCCAACACCCACACCCAGCUUAAGGGCAAGAAGGAGACAUGGCUGGGGGCUGGCAAGAGGAAAUCAAAUGGCUGUUUCCAUAGAACAGACAAAACCACUGCACGUGAGAGUACACAGGGAGGGGAACCAGCU
rnacentral:lncRNA from 1 species